rnacentral:lncRNA from 1 species
GGGGUAGGAAUCGAGUUAUAUCGUAUGAGAGUUGGCCAAUACUCACCAGGCAAAAACAUCAAACAAAGACUAAAUUAUAUUGAUUUUAUCUGUAUCAACUUAUUUCUCGCUUGUAAAAGUGUCUCGCAGGCACUGGUGUUAUCAAUUUUAAUCUUCACGUUGUCGCAUCAACUAGGCGUGUGCCUUAAACCUUCAGAGAUGAAACAUGUAGACUCAAAUGUACAAAAAUCAACAAGUGUAAAUGUUAAUCUUAGACUAUUUAUUAUUUUAUUUUUACUAUUUGUUAUUCAAAUUUUGCUUAUCCUAGCAGGAAUAGAGGUAAAUCCAGGUCCAAGUGACGAUAUCGAUUCUUCUCAAAGUUCAAUUAACUCAAUUGACAUGUCGGAUUUCGGUGAAAUUUUUUCAAAAUCAGUCUCAAUUCUUCACUUAAAUGUACAAAGCCUAGCCCCGAAAAUAGAUCUGAUUCAAGCUGAAUAUUCUGAUUUCGACAUUUUAGCGUUUAGUGAAACCUGGUUAAACAAUAAUCAUACAGACGAAUCAAUUGAAAUCCUAAAUUACCAGCACCCCUUCCGUCGUGACAGAGGUCCACA